GGCGGCAUAGCUCAGUUGGCUAGAGUACUCGGUUCAUACCCGAUUGGUCGUAGGUUCGAAUCCCACUGCCGCUACCA
rnacentral:tRNA from 2 species